AUACGAACUGUGCGAACGUUAUUCGGAAUCACUGGGCUUAAAGGGUGCGUAGGCGGCAAUGUAAGUGGGGUGUGAAAUCCCUCGGCUCAACCGAGGAACUGCGCUCCAAACUACAUCGCUUGAGGAAGACAGAGGUGAGCGGAACUGAUGGUGGAGCGGUGAAAUGCGUUGAUAUUAUCAGGAACACCGGUGGCGAAAGCGGCUCACUGGGUCUUUUCUGACGCUGAGGCACGAAAGCUAGGGGAGCGAACGGGAUUAGAAACCCCGGUAGUCC
rnacentral:rRNA from 1 species